rnacentral:tRNA from 1 species
GGUCCCGUGGUGUAGUGGCCUAACAUGCCUCCCUGUCAAGGAGGAGACCGCCAGUUCGAAUCUGGUCGGGACCG